rnacentral:rRNA from 1 species
ACGUUAGCGGCGGACGGGUGAGUAACACGUGGGUAACCUACCUAUAAGACUGGGAUAACUUCGGGAAACCGGAGCUAAUACCGGAUAAUAUUUCGAACCGCAUGGUUCGAUAGUGAAAGGUGGUUUUGCUAUCACUUAUAGAUGGACCCGCGCCGUAUUAGCUAGUUGGUAAGGUAACGGCUUACCAAGGCGACGAUACGUAGCCGACCUGAGAGGGUGAUCGGCCACACUGGAACUGAGACACGGUCCAGACUCCUACGGGAGGCAGCAGUG